GCCGGCGCCUCACCUUGGUUCACCAGGCGCAGGGCGUGCGUGAAGGAGGGGUCCAGGGAGUCCUUCUCCGCCAUCAGCUCGGGCAGGUAGCAAUCUGGAACACUCCUGACUGGCUCUUCAUCCCUCCCUGAUCUGAGUUGGCAGUCAGUCCACCAGCAGCUGUGGAGGAGGGCUAUGCACUGGGAAACUGACAGCAAGGGCACUGAAUCUUCUGCUCCAGACCCUCCUUCUCCGAGAACCUUCCAAGAAGGCAGGUGCCAAACGCUGAUGCCGACAUGCUUACUCCUUGGCGCUCUGGUUCUUUGUGAUGGUGGUGGCAGCCUGUCUGGAGUGGCCUCCAUGAAGACUCCAGUUGCAGCAGGAACUCCAGUUCCUGCAUGGCCAGGGCUGCACACUCCAUGGAGCUGGUGGAAGCCUGGAACAGCCCACAAAAGCCCUGGACUCAGCCAGCUUUGGAUAGAUGACAGGACAACCUGUGGAGAGGAGCUACCCAUGGUGGGUUGCCCCCUGCUGAGAGCUGUACACUCAUCAGGAUGACCUGCCAGCAGGUAGGAGCUACCCACUCCAGGUCUCCUCUCUGCUGAGGGCUACAGAGAAGUCAGGAUGACCUGCCUGUGGAUAGAAGCUACCUACUCCAGGUCUCCUCUCUGUCGAGGGCUGCAGGCUCCACUGGAUGACCUGCCUGUGGAAAAGAGCUACCCACUUCAGGUCUCCUGAGAGCUGUUCCAUCACUCAAUA
rnacentral:lncRNA from 1 species